rnacentral:rRNA from 1 species
CGAGUCGACGUUGUCUGAUAUUGAAUGUCUUAUAUUUUUUUUUGCUUUUGGUUGUUUUUGGCUAAGUAUUGUUGUGGUUUUUGUAUUGUUAAUGAUUUAAUUAUUUUUGUUAUAGUUAUUGGUACUGUGAGGGGUGGAAUGUUAUGAUUUUUUUAUAAGUUGAUUUUGUUUAUUGUACCUUGUGUAUCAGGGUUUAUUAAUUUUUAUUAUUUAUUUUUUAUUUCCCGAUUUUAGAGGAGUUAAUGAUUUAUGUUAGUUACUGUUUCAUCAGUAUUAAUAAUAAUUUGUUGGUGGUGAAAUGUCAUUCGGUUCUAUAGGUAUCUGGUUUCCUAGGAAACAAAUUUAAUUUUCACUCUAUAUGUAGUUGUUCUUUCUUUUAUUGUAGGAUUUAAUAUUGGGUGAGGAUUCUGGGGGAUAAGCUUCAGUUUUUAUUUUUAUAAUGCUUUCUUUUUUUAAUUUUUGUGGGCUUUAAGUUGGCUAUCGAUAUGAUUAUGUUAAAAUUUUACUUGCUCCUUUUUUGAAUUUAUUUUGUAUUUAAUUUUUUAUUAGGAUGUUUAGUUUGCUUUUUUCUCUAUUGUGAUUUUGAUGGGAUUAGUAUAUUAAUUUUUAUUUUGUUAUUUGUGCUGUUGGUUUUUUGAAAGGAACUAGGCAAAUAUUUAGUGCUCGUUUGUUUAACAAAAACAUUUCCUCUUGAUAAGUUUGUGAGGUAUGACCUGCCCGCUGAUUAAUUGAAGGGCCGCGGUAUUUUGACCGUGCAAAGGUAGCAUAAUCAUUAGUUCUUUAAUUGUGGACUGGUAUGAAUGGUUUGACGAGGUAUUAACUGUCUUUUGUGAAUUGUAUUUGAAUUUAUGGCUUGGGUAAGAAUACCUAGAUUUUUUUAUGGGACGAGAAGACCCUAUAGAGUUUGACAUGGUAAUGAUUAUUUUUGUUAUUGUUUUUCUUUAUGGUCCUUUUAUGUUUUGUUGGGGUGAUGAGAAGAUAAUAUAAACUCUUCUUUGUUAUUGUUAUACUUAUUUGUAUUGUUUUUGAUCCUUUAUUAUUGAUUGUAAGAUUAAAUUACCUUAGGGAUAACAGCGUAAUCCUUUUUGAGAGUUCUUAUCGACAAGAGGGUUUGCGACCUCGAUGUUGGAUUAAGGUAAAUAUUUGGCGUAGAGGCUGAAGUGUUUAUUAGGUCUGUUCGACCUUUAAAACCUUACAUGAUCUGAGUUCAAACCGGUGUGAGCCAGGUUGGUUUCUAUCUAUAAAUUUUUUUUGCUAUUUCUUAGUACGAGAGGACCAGAAAUUUUGAAUAAUUCUAUGUUUAUGAUUUUUAUUAAUUACUAAUUUGGCAGAUAAGUGCGGUGGAUUUAGAAUCUAUUUAUGUGGUUAAGUACACAU